rnacentral:rRNA from 1 species
AGCAUAUUAUGUUGGCUGUCCGCAUGUAUAAAUAGCAUGUGUUAGCAAGGGCCGGGCAAGACCGGUGCCAGCCGCCGCGGUAACACCGGCGGCCCGAGUGGUGGCCACUAUUAUUGGGUCUAAAGGGUCCGUAGCCGGUUCGAUCAGUCUUCCGGGAAAUCUGACAGCUCAACUGUUAGGCUUCCGGGGGAUACUGUCGGACUUGGGACCGGGAGAGGUAAGAGGUACUACAGGGGUUAGGAGUGAAUCUUGUAAUCCUUGUGGGACCACCAGUGGCGAAGGCGUCUUACCAGAACGGGUCCGACGGUGAGGGACGAAAGCUGGGGGCACGAACCGGAUUAGAUACCCGGGUAGUCCCAGCCGUAAACGAUGCUCGCUAGGUGUCUGGGAUGGUGCGACCGUUUCAGGUGCCGCAGGGAAGCCGUGAAGCGAGCCACCUGGGAAGUACGGCCGCAAGGCUGAAACUUAAAGGAAUUGGCGGGGGAGCACUACAACGGGUGGAGCCUGCGGUUUAAUUGGACUCAACGCCGGAAAACUCACCUGGGGCGACAGCAAUAUGUAGGUCAGGCUAAAGGUCUUACCUGAAUCGCUGAGAGGAGGUGCAUGGCCGUCGUCAGUUCGUACUGUGAAGCAUCCUGUUAAGUCAGGCAACGAGCGAGACCCGUGCCCACUGUUGCCAGCAUAUCCUUAGGGAUGAUGGGUACUCUGUGGGGACCGCUGGUGCUAAACCAGAGGAAGGUGCGGGCUACGGUAGGUCAGUAUGCCCCGAAUCUCCAGGGCUACACGCGGGCUACAAUGACCGGGACAAUGGGCCCCUACCCUGAAAAGGGUUGGUAAUCUCAUAAACCCGGCCGUAGUUCGAAUUGAGGGCUGCAACUCGCCCUCAUGAAGCUGGAAUCCGUA